rnacentral:lncRNA from 1 species
CUGAGGGGCGGCGGUGAGGGGUGUUCGCACCCCGCCAGCGUGAGGGGAAACCGCCGUCACGUGAAGUCUUGUAAAUCAAUCCUGGCUCAGGACUUGCUGGCACAGAGCUGAUGCAGGAUGUCCCCAUCUGUCAGAUGUGAUGUCAGGCGCGGAGAAAUCUCUUUGACCCCUACCUGAAUGAUUGCUGACAAGAGCCCAGACCUUUGUGGCAAUGGAUCUGCUGCUUGCAGCUUUGGAUGGAUGGAAGAGGCUGGCUUGGCACAGGUGGCUCUCACAGACUUUGUCUGUACUGUGGCUUGAGGGAGUCCAGGGCUUAUCUUUCAAGAUCUGAAAAAUAUCAAGAUGAGUUAAACCCCUGGUGUUGUCUCUGACCUCUGACUGUUGUCCACAUUGCACCAAAAAAGUUCCCUGCCCUUCCCACCUGACCAGCUCAGCUUGCUCUUUAGGCAGGAGGUCAGGGGCGUUAUAGAAGGAUAAAGAUAUUUAACUUAUUUCCUCAUGCAGUUUGUACUACUGUUUAAAAACCACCUGCUACCCUGGAUCUAUGCCUUCUGCUCAGCUCAUCCCUUUUAGAAAAAACCCACUAAGAUAAUAAAUUUGUGUUCCCACCCUG